AACAGAACAAAUAAAACAAAGAUGAAGACUUCAAGAAUAUUCUCUGUUAUUGUUGCAAUUGGUGUGAUUUUCGUUUGCGGCAUUAAAGCUGAUGGACUUUAUGAUAAUUAUUUGGGCAAUGUCCAUACAGUACCUUUGGCAUACCCAGUACCAUAUUCCAUAAGUGCUCCACAUCAAGGACUCGGAAGUGUUGGAGGAAUAUCAAAUUUACAGUCAGACCAGUCUCUUCUAAUUUUCUUAUUUUUGUUACCAGUUCUCUUCAAACUUCUCAACAACGACUCAUCCUAAUAGACAGACGGCUAGGCUCGUACAAAAUCACAUUUUAAAACCAUUUCAUCAGACUAGUUUGUAAUAGACUUAAAAAUCUGAGUAAAUUAUGUUUUUGAAAUAACUGUGAAGUGAUGUUAAAAAUGCUUCCUGGAUGUUCUGAUUAAGUAGAUUGAAAGAGCUGCAGUUAGUGAUUGACAUGGUAGUUUUAAGUGACAAAAUGGUUCCAGAAGUGUAUAGAAGGAAGUAGUACAGGGUAGUGAGACUGACAUUACAAUAUGGUCAAACUAAGUCAUGUCUUAAAUAAUAAAUGCUGAUUCGACAAAAAUGUUUUCUUCAUUAUCAAUCCGUAGUAUUUAUUCAUAACAAAUUAAAGUGUAAAUAUCA